CACGACUCCAUGUCCUGGAGCUCUCCUCCAUUAACCCGACAACCAGUCCAUCAAGCUGAGUGGCGCCGGUUCCGAGCCCAACUCCAUGACACCCAGGAGACUCGCUGGCCUGAAUCCAGAGGAGCGGAAGUCCGGUAGAAACCUGCUGGCCACUGCAGGAGAGGAAACUUUCACCUACAGGAAAAUGUGCCCCAGGAAAGCUGGCUGUUCCCACCACUAGUGAAGAUGGUUAAGGCCCACUGCAGCACAAACCACACCUAAGGGUACAACUGGCUUGACCGCUACACUUCACAUGCAAAACAAUGUCGUACCAUUGAGACAUCUAAACGUGAUGCAGCCCCGACUAGCCUCAGAUCUAGGCUACUAAUAUUUAUGAAGACUCAGAUCGGCUCUCAACGUAAGACUCUGCAGUGCUUACAGGCAUGUAAACUCAAGUUAUAGCAUUCUUAGAAAAUGCUGAGAAAAGACUGGCGGUGCAUGCCUUUAAUCCUAAUACUCAUGAGACAGUCUGAUCUACUGAUGGAGUUCCAGGACAGGCUGCAAAGCUACUCAGAAACCUUAUCUCUAAAGACAGAAAAAGGAAACCAUGAAAUCCCAAUUUAGUGGGGAGUUGGUGGUACACACCUUUAAUUCCAGCACUCAGGAGGCAGAGGUAGGCGGAUCUCUGUGAGUUCAAGGCCAGACUGGUUUCCAGGGGGAGUGCCAGGAUAGGCUCCAAAGCUACAGAGAAACCCUGUCUCGAAAAACCACAAAAAAAAAAAAAUCCCACCAACUUGAGAUGAUGAGGCUCAGACAUUACCUAUCCACAACCGGCUGAGCCCUCCUGUAUCAAUCACUAAGAAAAUGUGGGCUGGGCGUUGGUGGCACACGCCUUUAAUCCCAGGACUGAGGAGGCAAAGGCAGGCGGAUCUCUGUGAGUUCAAGACCAGCUUGACCUACAAGAGCUAGUUCAAGGACAGCCUCCAAAGCCAGGUGUCUCGAAAAACCUCCCCAAAAAAGAAAAAAAUGUGUUACAGACCAAUCUCAUGGGUGUAGCCUCCCAGUAAAGAUUGCCUUUAGUUUCUUUUUUUUGGGGGGGAGGGUUUCUGUGGCUUUGGAGGCUGUCCUGGAACUAGCUCUUGUAGACCAGGCUGGUCUCCAACUCACAGCGAUCCGCCUGCCUCUGCCUCCCGAGUACUGGGAUUAAAGGCGUGCACUACCACCGCCCAGCUUAAAUUUAUCUUUAUUACUUUAUGUGCAUUGGUGUUUUUUCCGCAUGCAUGUUCGUGUGAGGUGUCAGGUCCGGAAAUCACAGUUGUUAACUGCCACAUGGGUGUUGGGAUUUGAACCCUGGCUCUCUGGAAGAGCAGUCCAGCGCUCUUAUACCACUGAACCAUUUCUCUGGCCCUGAGAUUGCCUUUUCUAGUUGCCAAAAAAUAAACUGACCAGGACUGGGAUCUGCAUCACCCGGAACUGGAGAUACCACUAUGAUGGAAUGAAAAUUGAGGCUUUCUAAAAGCAAUCUACAUGUUUCUCUUAAACCUGUCCAUUCACUAGGAUGCACCAAUAGUAAAAGUUCAGAGGCAAGACACGUGCCCUGCAUUAAUGAGGGUUCCAUCCCUAGCACUGGCAAACCUAUCUCACAGCAUCAAAUCUUGCAUUUGAAUUCUAAAUCACAACCAAUUUAAAAGCUCUUAAUGUUUCCUAUGUUAAGCCAUUAGACAAAUCGCACCUUGAAGAGAUUAGGAGGUCGAAGACCGCAGAUGUAUUCUCUCAUCUCCCUGGAGGCGCAAAGGUGCCGUCUUCUAUCCCUCCAACCCCUGCUCCGUGUCGCUUCAUCAAGCCAACCUGCAAAAUAAAGGCGUCAAUCGCCAUCUUCCCUCGAUCAGAGAACAAAGCAGACCAAGGCCUUUGGGGGGCUGGUGUAUCAGGACUAACUGGCAAAGUAUUUUAAGAGAUCAGCAUCGUCGAUAUGACGGGGAAAAAAGCGAUGUCAUCAUUUACACCAGCCACGCGUUCUCCAGGCCCAACCUGAAAGCCUCUUUUACAUCUAAUCCACUUCUCCCCUAAGGUCAACCCGGGGCUGGCGCCGGAC
ensembl:lncRNA